CAGGGAUUGCCUCAGUAACGGCGAGUGAAGCGGCAAAAGCUCAAAUUUGAAAUCUGGCUCUUUUAGGGUCCGAGUUGUAAUUUGUAGAAGAUGUUUCGGGUGUGGCUCCGGUUUAAGUUCUUUGGAAUAUUACAUCAUAGAGGGUGAGAAUCCCGUAUGUGACCGGCAGCCUUCGCCUAUGUGAAACUCUUUCGACGAGUCGAGUUGUUUGGGAAUGCAGCUCAAAAUGGGAGGUAUAUUUCUUCUAAAGCUAAAUAUUGGCCAGAGACCGAUAGCGCACAAGUAGAGUGAUCGAAAGAUGAAAAGCACUUUGGAAAGAGAGUUAAACAGUACGUGAAAUUGUUGAAAGGGAAGCGCUUGCAACCAGACUUGCACGCAGUUGAUCAUCCGGUGUUCUCACCGGGGCACUCUGCUGCGUUCAGGCCAGCAUCGGUUUUGGUGGUUGGAUAAAGGCCUUGGGAAUGUGGCUUCCUUCGGGGAGUGUUAUAGCCCUCGGUGCAAUGCAGCCUACCGGGACCGAGGACCGCGCUUCGGCUAGGAUGCUGGCGUAAUGGUUGUAAGCGACCCGUCUUGAAACACGGACCAAGGAGUCUAACAUCUAUGCGAGUGUUUGGGUGUUAAACCCAUACGCGUAAUGAAAGUGAACGGAGGUGAGAACCCUUAAGGGUGCAUCAUCGACCGGUCCUGAUGUCUUCGGAUGGAUCUGAGUAAGAGCAUAGCUGUUGGGACCCGAAAGAUGGUGAACUAUGCGUGAAUAGGGUGAAGCCAGAGGAAACUCUGGUGGAGGCUCGCAGCGGUUCUGACGUGCAAAUCGAUCGUCAAAUUUGCGCAUAGGGGCGAAAGACUUAUCGAACCAUUGAACACCUACUAGGUGGUUAAGAGGCCUUAGUACGGCCUAGUCCUCACCGAGGGCGACAUUGUCAAAUUGUUCGGGGACCUCCUGAUAACUCUCAGACUACCGCAGCCCGCCCGAAAGGGGGGUGCGCACCGGGCUAACGACCCUGGGGAUGGUAACAACGUCUGGGUAGGGAAGAUCCGCAGCCAAGUCCUACCGCCCUCCGGGGCCACGGAUGCAGUUCACAGACUUGAAGGCAGUGGGCUCCCCCGGGAGCUUAAGAUAAAGUCGAACCCCCCGGAGACGGGGUGGAGGGAGGAGAGUGCGUCGCACUCA
rnacentral:rRNA from 1 species